rnacentral:lncRNA from 1 species
GCUCAGACAACUGGCAGCUGACACAAAUGCUAAUUCUCCUUAAGACUUCAGCCUCAGGGAGUCAUCCCAAAACAAACAAACAAGAAGAUGUAAGUGUAUAUGUGCAUGUGUAUAUGUAUACAAGGUUAUUUCAAAAACAUACUUGACAUAUGUCAGUUUCAAAUCACUCAAUAUUUCUUGUAGCAUCUUGGGUAAUUGUAGAGAGAAAGUGCCCCAUUUAAUGAAAUCGUGUUCCCUUUUGAAAGCACUUGGGUAACUUGACUCCAGACAGCAUGAGGUUUUAUCUUGUUGUUAUGAAGAUAUAAAGACAUUAUUCAGAUUUAUUUUUUUUAAGAGACAGUCCAAUUAAAAAUGAGAACAUUAUUAUUUGAUAGUUACCUAAUUAGAACAAAUUGCAUUCUUCUUUCCUUCUAACAACAAGAGGAAUACCUGUCUGUUUCCCUUCUGGCUCCAUGGAAUGUGCACACACUCAGAGGAAGCAGAUCGUGUGUCUCAAAGGCCAUGUACACUCCACACAGCUGAAAGUAGUAAUCCAGCCUAGUGUAGAUGUGCUCUGGGAGCACAUGCCUCCCAUCAUCUUCAGAGAGUCUGUGGAAGCAUUCCUGGACAUGGUCAGUGGAGUGGCCCAGCAACAAUAUUAUGGUUUCAGCUCUUUAUUAGGGGACAAAAUAUAA